rnacentral:rRNA from 1 species
CGAGCACGCGCGUGUGGCAUAUCAAUAAGCGGAGGAAAAGAAACUAACAAGGAUUCCCUUAGUAACGGCGAGUGAAGCGGGAAGAGCUCAAAUUUGAAAUCUUCAAGGUUCUACCUUGACGAAUUGUAGUUUAUAGAAGUGUUUUCUGUUAGUGGAGUGGCAAAAGUUCUUUGGAAUAGGACAUCAUAGGGGGUGAGAAUCCCGUAUUUGGUCAUUCCUCCUAGCGUUGUGAUACACUUUCAACGAGUCGGAUUGUUUAGGAAUGCAGUCCAAAAUGGGUGGUAAAUUUCAUCUAAAGCUAAAUAUUGGCGAGAGACCGAUAGCGAACAAGUACCGUGAGGGAAAGAUGAAAAGAACUUUGAAAAGAGAGUUAAACAGUACGUGAAAUUGUCAAAAGGGAAGCGUUUGACACCAGUGUUGUUUUUCCGAAAAUCAAUUACGAAUGUUUUAUUUUUGAGGAGUUAUGACUUCAUCGGCUUGCUCUUUUCUUUACGAAACUUUCUUAAUGCACUUUUCGGUUAACAAGUCAACAUCAAUUUCUUUUGUUGUAAAAGGGUACGAGGAAGGUGGCUUUCUUUUCGGAGAAAGUGUUUAUAGCCUUGUGCCUCUGCAAUCGGAGAGAUUGAGGUCUGCAGCGUAGAUCCUUCGGGGUUAGAUACGUUUGUGCUAAGUUAUAGCUUUUCAUAGACAACUUGUUGACUAUGUUUAGCCUUGUAGCUUACUCGCUGACGCUAUUUUACCUACGCUUAGGAUGUUGAUGUGAUACUGCGAGCA